GAAUGUGCUGCUAAUCUCUUUGAAACGCUCUGUGAAUGUCCCCAACCUACAUGCCAGCAUUCUGUGUUUUUUUUUUAAGGAUGUGUGGACUGAAUGUGUUAUUUAUGUUCAUGUGUUCAAGGUGGUCAAUGAUGCUCAAAAAGACCUUCACCAGAUUGAGAAAAAAUACAAGCUGUCUGAUAUUGUUAGAGAGUACCAGGAUGCCGAUACCCCACUCGUGAUGAACUGGGACGUGUUCAGGCGAGCACGGCAGUUGAAGCCGAGGCGUCAGAAGAUGAAGUGUGUCCCUCCUAGCGCCCUCUCCGACGGCGACCUGACAAUCCGUGUCAACAUCCAGAGAGCUGCACACUUACCUGUUCGCCAGAAGACAUAUCAUCAGAUGGAGAACCGUGGAGCCUAUUGUGGUUUGUCCCGAGGUAAACAGGACCUCAUUCGCUGGAUACCUAAAUGCUCACAGAAUCAACUCCAUCCUUUCGCUGAGGUGAACUUCCAAAGCUUGACAUUUCAGACCAGCAGCGCAGAAGGACCUGACCCGGUCUGGAGAGAGGAAUUUUGCCUCGAUUUUAGGUAUGCCUUUCCGAUGACACCGCCAACAGCUGGGCUAGCCGCCCG
rnacentral:lncRNA from 1 species